ensembl:lncRNA
AUGGUAGAAAAUGGAACACCUCAGGGUAGUGUUAUCAGCCCACUGCUCUUUAUCAUUAUGAUAAAUGAUGUAUUUUCAGAUGUAGGGCCUGGGAUUGGAAGAUUGCUGUUUGCAGAUGACGGGGCCUUGUGGAAGAGGGGAGGAAACAUAAAAUACACAGUAAGUAAGGUUCAGGAAGCAAUAGAACAGGUAGAACGAUGGUCAAUGAGAUGGGGUUUUAGAUUUUCAAAGGAAAAAUCUCAAGUGCUUUUCUUUACAAGGAAAAAGAUAGGGGAGGAAAUUAAUCUUAAAUUAUAUGGACAUGUUCUGGAGAAAGUAGAGUCCUUUAGGUUUUUGGGAAUGGUUUUUGAUGCUAGGUUAACAUGGGCAGGUCACAUUGAGAAAGUUUUAGUAAAGUGUAAAAAAGUAUUAAAUGUGAUGAGGUGUCUGACAGGAGUGGACUGGGGGGCGAGCAGGCAAUCACUGAGGGAGAUAUAUGUUUCACUGAUUAAGUCUGUUAUAGAUUAUGGUUGUAUAGCAUAUAGAGAUGCAGCAAAAACUACACUGGCUAAACUGGAAGUAAUACAAACUCAAGCACUUAGGAUAUGCAGUGGGGCUUUUCGGACAUCACCUGCAGUGGCGUUGCAAGUAGAGAUGGGUGACAUGCCUUUACAUUUAAGGAAGGAACAGUUGGCAGCUAACUAUUGGGCAAACCUACAAGGACAUAAUAGGUCCCACCCAACUAGAGUAGUAAUGCAGGUGUGCUGGGAGCACGAAAGGGUUAAAAGUCAGAGUUUUGGAUGGGUAUGUGAUGCUAUUGGAAAAGACUUGGGGUUAGAGGGUAUAGAAUUUAGUCCAACAGUUCUGUUGCCUGUCAGACCACCAUGGUUGUUUGUGGAACCUAUAGUGGAUUUGCAGUUAUUAAAUAGAAACUUAAAGAGUAGAGUAGAGGUGGAUUUAUGUAGAGUUUUUUGUGAACAUCUGAACGAGGAGUUUAAUGGGUAUCUGGAUAUUUACACAGAUGGGUCUAAAGAUCCUAAGUCUGGGCAAACAGGGGCUGCAUUUGGAAUACCAAAAAUGGGAGUUAAGGUACAGAAGAGACUGUCUGAUCAAAUAUCUGUAUUUACAGUGGAAUUGAUGGGUAUCUGGUUGGCUCUACAGUGGGUAGAAGAAACAAGACCGGAUAAAGUUGUAAUUUGUUCAGACUCUAGUGCAGUACUAAAGUGUUUGCAAUCAUUUAAGUCAAAAUCAAGACUAGACAUAGUAUAUGAGGUACUAGAAAGUUACACAAGGAUUUCUCAGUUGGGGGUGAAGGUAAAAUUUACAUGGGUACCAGCUCAUGUUGGUGUUAAAGGAAAUGAAAUGGCAGAUGGUUUGGCAAAACAAGCCAGUAAAAGAGAAGAUGUGGAAAUAUCAAUCUUAAUGAGUAAAACAGAAGCUAAAACAAAAAUCUGGAUGGAAAUUAUGAAAAAGUGGCAGAGUGGUUGGGAUAGAGAGGAGAAAGGGAGACAUUUAUACAGAAUACAACAGAAGGUUGGGACAGAGAGGAUCACUGGAAGGAGUCGAAGGGAAGAAAUAAUUUUCGCUAGGUUAAGGAUUGGACAUUGUGGGUUGAAUAAGUGCUUACAUAUUUUAGGUUAG